rnacentral:rRNA from 1 species
GAUGAACGCUGGCGGCGUGCUUAACACAUGCAAGUCGAACGAUGAAGCCCAGCUUGCUGGGUGGAUUAGUGGCGAACGGGUGAGUAACACGUGAGUAACCUGCCCUUAACUCUGGGAUAAGCCUGGGAAACUGGGUCUAAUACCGGAUAGGAGCGUCCACCGCAUGGUGGGUGUUGGAAAGAUUUUCGGUUUUGGAUGGACUCGCGGCCUAUCAGCUUGUUGGUGGGGUAAUGGCUCACCAAGGCGACGACGGGUAGCCGGCCUGAGAGGGUGACCGGCCACACUGGGACUGAGACACGGCCCAGACUCCUACGGGAGGCAGCAGUGGGGAAUAUUGCACAAUGGGCGCAAGCCUGAUGCAGCGACGCCGCGUGAGGGAUGACGGCCUUCGGGUUGUAAACCUCUUUCAGUAGGGAAGAAGCGAAAGUGACGGUACCUGCAGAAGAAGCACCGGCUAACUACGUG